AUUGAACGCUGGCGGCAGCUUAACACAUGCAAGUCGAGCGGGGUGAUGGUGCUUGCACUAUCACUUAGCGGCGGACGGGUGAGUAAUGCUUAGGAAUCUGCCUAUUAGUGGGGGACAACAUCUCGAAAGGGAUGCUAAUACCGCAUACGUCCUACGGGAGAAAGCAGGGGAUCACUUGUGACCUUGCGCUAAUAGAUGAGCCUAAGUCGGAUUAGCUAGUUGGUGGGGUAAAGGCCUACCAAGGCGACGAUCUGUAGCGGGUCUGAGAGGAUGAUCCGCCACACUGGGACUGAGACACGGCCCAGACUCCUACGGGAGGCAGCAGUGGGGAAUAUUGGACAAUGGGGGAACCCUGAUCCAGCCAUGCCGCGUGUGUGAAGAAGGCCUUAUGGUUGUAAAGCACUUUAAGCGAGGAGGAGGCUCUUUUGGUUAAUACCCAAGAUGAGUGGACGUUACUCGCAGAAUAAGCACCGGCUAACUCUGUGCCAGCCGCCGCAGUAA
rnacentral:rRNA from 1 species